ensembl:rRNA 5S_rRNA 5S ribosomal RNA
GUCUAUGGCCAUUCUACCCUGAAUGCACCCAAUUGCUCAUCUCAUCUCAAAAGCUAAGCAGGGUUAAGCCUGGUUAGUACUUGGAUAGGAGAAAUCUGGAAAACAAGAACCAAAACCA